AGCAGAGUAGAAGUAGAAAGUGGCAUGAAAAGAAAAGACUCAAGUAAAGUACAAGUACCUUAACAUUUGGACUUAAGUACAGUACUGGAGUAGAUGUACUUAGUUCCAUUUCACCACAGGUUCUGGGGAGUU